GUUUGAUCCUGGCUCAGGAUGAACGCUUUCUUUAUGCCUAAUACAUGCAAGUCAAACGAACUAACUUGUUAGUUAGUGGCGAACGGGUGAGUAACACGUAAGUAACAUGUCCAUACGACGAGGAUAACGGCUGGAAACGGCUGCUAAGACUGGAUAGGAAUAUAAAAGGCAUCUUUAAUAUUUUAAAGGACCUUGAUGGUACGCGUAUGGGGUGACUUGCGGCGCAUUAGCUAGUUGGUGGGGUAGAAGCCUACCAAGGCGAUGAUGCGUAGCCGGACUGAGAGGUUGAACGGCCACAUUGGGACUGAGACACGGCCCAGACUCCUACGGGAGGCAGCAGUAGGGAAUUUUCGGCAAUGGGGGGAACCCUGACCGAGCAAUGCCGCGUGAAUGAAGAAAUACUUAGGUAUGUAAAGUUCUUUUAUUGGGGAAGAAUGUCUUGUGGAAGAACAAGAGUGACGGUACCCAUUGAAUAAGCCCCGGCUAACUAUGUGCCAGCAGCCGCGGUAAUACAUAGGGGGCAAGCGUUAUCCGGAAUUAUUGGGCAUAAAGGGUGCGUAGGCGGCAUGUUAAGUUUAAGGUAUAAGCUCAUGGCUCAACCAUGGGAGGCUUUAGAAACUGGCAUGCUAGAGUGCAGUAGAGGCAAGUGGAAUUCCAUGUGUAGCGGUAAAAUGCGUAAAUAUAUGGAGGAACACCAGUGGCGAAGGCGGCUUGCUGGGCUGUAACUGACGCUGAGGCACGAAAGCGUGGGGAGCAAACAAAAUUAGAUACCCUGGUAGUCCUAACCAUAAACGGUGGUCCACUUGGUGUGGCGAGGAAUUGUCCCCUUGCGCGCCCGAGCUAACGCGUUAAGUGUACCCGCCGGGGGAGUACGGUCGCAAGAUUAAAACUCAAAGGAAUGGCCGGGGACCCGCACAAACGGUGGAGCAUGUGGCUUAAUUCGAUGCAACGCGAAGAACCUUACCUGGACUUGACAUGCAAGUAGUAGAACCCUGAAAGGGGGACGAUCCCGCGCAAGCGGGAAGCUUGCACAGGUGCUGCAUGGCUGUCGUCAGCUCGUGCCGUGAGGUGUUGGGUUAAGUCCCGCAACGAGCGCAACCCUUGUGAUUAGUUGCCAUUAUUAAGUUAGGCACUCUAGUCAGACUGCCUGUGAUAAGCAGGAGGAAGGUGGGGAUGACGUCAAGUCAGUAUGGUCCUUAUGUCCAGGGCUGCACACGUGCUACAAUGGCCGGUACAGAAGGAAGCAAUACCGCGAGGUGGAGCUAAUCCCCAAAACCGGCCUCAGUUCGGAUUGGAGUCUGCAACCCGACUCCAUGAAGCUGGAAUCGCUAGUAACGGCGCAUCAGCUACGGCGCCGUGAAUACGUUCCCGGGUCUUGCACACACCGCCCGUCA
rnacentral:rRNA from 1 species